rnacentral:tRNA from 1 species
GUAUUUUGAGCUUGUUUAAAAGUGUAAUUUUGAAGAAAUUAAGUAAUUUUGAUACA